rnacentral:rRNA from 1 species
UGAGGAAUAUUGGUCAAUGGACGCAAGUCUGAACCAGCCAAGUAGCGUGCAGGAUGACGGCCCUAUGGGUUGUAAACUGCUUUUAUAUGGGGAUAAAGUGGGGAACGUGUUCCCUUUUGCAGGUACCAUAUGAAUAAGGACCGGCUAAUUCCGUGCCAGCAGCCGCGGUAAUACGGAAGGUUCGGGCGUUAUCCGGAUUUAUUGGGUUUAAAGGGAGCGUAGGCCGUUUGGUAAGCGUGUUGUGAAAUGUAGGAGCUCAACUUCUAGAUUGCAGCGCGAACUGUCAGACUUGAAUGCGCACAACGUAGGCGGAAUUCAUGGUGUAGCGGUGAAAUGCUUAGAUAUCAUGAAGAACUCCGAUUGCGAAGGCAGCUUACGGGAGCGCAACUGACGCUGAAGAUCGAAGGUGCGGGUAUCGAACAGG